CUGGAGACCAAGAGGAAGAUCUUUCUCCUUCGGUGGAGGGAACAUGGUGGCAAACAGAGGAGCAGAGACCCUCUUCCUGGUCUUCCUGCUGUCCUGCUGGCCAGAGACCAAGUUGCAGCCAACAAACAUCACCUCAGGUCCCAACACUGGAGAACUAUUGAGCUCAAAAACGCCAGAUAUGCAUGGGGUGCUUGAUGAGAUUCUAGUCCAAGAGAUGCUGGAAAGAAACAAAUCAAGAGUUCCUGACCUCUAUAAAAUAGCGGUAACAGUAUCAACACAAACCACCUCAAAACAAAGCAAGUAUACAG